rnacentral:piRNA from 1 species
UGACAGAUGCAUCAUAUGAGUUUCUAGGUC